rnacentral:lncRNA from 1 species
CUGCUACAGAUUUUUCUGUAUAAAAAUGUUGUCUUUUUAUUACAUCCUGGCUUGGUUUGUUGUUCGCAACAGGUUAAGGUUGCAUUAGAAUCAGGGUUUUGGACAAAAGUUGACAUGGCUUCUGGUCGUUUUCUUUGGAGGCUGCUGAUCCAAUCCCCCUCAAAGCAAUAAUUGAUCUCAUACCUUUGUGAUAUUCAUGACAGACACAAAGGUUAUAUGAAAUAUGAAUGUUUCAUCUCAUAUAUGUAAUAUUGGAAACUCAAUCCUAACUACUUUUCAUAUGGUGAUGAUAUUCAUAACUACAAUAAGACUAUUUCCUCUAUUAAAAUUUGGUAUGGAAUAUAUAGUUUAUAGAUAGUGUGUCUCUCUGAUUUUCUUAUUGUUUUCAUCUAAAGUUGUGGACAUGGUUUGGCAGCAUGAUAUAUUGGGAUAGA